rnacentral:rRNA from 1 species
UACAGGGGGUGCAAACGUUGCUCGGAAUCAUUGGGCGUAAAGCGCACGUAGGCGGUUCGUUAUGUCGGAUGUGAAAGCCCUUGGCUUAACCGAGGAAGUGCAUCCGAAACUGGCGAGCUAGAGUACGAAAGAGGAUCGCGUGAAUUCCCGGUGUAGAGGUGAAAUGCGUAGAUAUCGGGAGGAACACCAGUAGCGAAGGCGGCACUCUGGGCCGGUACUGACGCUGAGGAGCGAAAGCGUGGGGAGCGAACAGG